CUCCUCUCAACGUCGCACCUGGAGAAUUUCCAGUCCUCUGCUAGUCUCGGCUAUGGGAGGGAGAGUCAAGCAGAGGCCUACCCAUUCCAUUCCUAGCUUGGGCGGUCGCUAGCGAGUGGAAGGCCAUCUGCUACAAGU